rnacentral:rRNA from 1 species
UAAGCCAUCUUCGGAUGGUGGAAAGUGGCGCACGGGUGAGUAACACGUGGGGACCUACCUGAUAGUAAGGGACAACAGUUGGAAACGACUGCUAAUACCUUAUACGCUCUUCGGAGGAAAGAUUUAUCGCUAUCAGAUGGACCCGCGCUAGAUUAGAUAGUUGGUGAGGUAAUGGCUCACCAAGUCUGCGAUCUAUAGCUGGUUUGAGAAGAUGAUCAGCCACAUUGGAACUGAGACACGGUCCAGACUCC